UCGUAACAAAAUGUGCUAGGGCAUGCUCCGGCUGUCGCAGACUUGAAAUGGUCGUGCACGCGGGCGCGUGUCCUCUCACAUAACACAAUCCAUCUCACCCCUUUGUGCACCACCGCGUGGGCCCCCUUCGGGGGGCUCGCGUUUUCACACAAAACCCCCCUUUUAAAAGUGUAGAAUGACCUCUUUUUAUGAAAUCAAUA
rnacentral:misc_RNA from 1 species